AUCGUACUCCCUCCGUUCGGAAUUACUUGUCGCAGAAAUGGAUGUAUCUAGACGUAUUUUAGUUCUAGAUACAUCCAUUUUCGAGACAAGUAAUUCCGAACGGAGGGAGUAGGAA
rnacentral:pre_miRNA from 1 species